rnacentral:rRNA from 1 species
AUGGCCAUUUUUGAUAAGUUCUAUGUUGGAGCCAUCGAUCUUGGGCGCCUCAACUAUGGGAUCAUCUCGUUGAUCCCGAAAGUUCCGAGCGCCUCCGAUAUUCGCCAGUUCCGUCCUAUCACGGUCAUCAACGUGAUCUUUCGGAUUCUGGCAAAAGGGUACGCCAAUAGGGUGACCCUCCUCGCCGACCAGAUUACCCACCCCAACCAGUCUGCCUUCAUUAAAGGGCGGUACAUCCUGGAUGGGGUGCUAGUUCUCCAUGAAGUCCUCCAUGAGGUGCGGUCUAAACACCUCAAGGGGGUUUUCUUGAAGAUUGAUUUCCAUAAGGCCUACGACACGGUUAGUUGGCCCUUCCAUCAGGAAGUUUUG